rnacentral:lncRNA from 1 species
GUAAGUUGUUGUUUAAUCCUCAUCCGGUGCACGCCUGGAGAUAUGGUUACUUUGGCAACUUUCUCGCUCCACAACCCGGUGGCCAGCAAGUGCGGCUCCAGGCAUGUCCGUGGAUAGAACCGAGCCGUGUUCUUAUAUUGAUGGGAGGGCGCAAUCGGCCAACGCCAGUCUGGUUGAGACUAAGGGAACACAAAGGGGAAACCCACGGUGUCGCGUGAUGCCGCUUCUUCGCACUUCACAACUUCAGGCUAGCGUAAGUGUCCCUGACGCAUUUGACGACGACGAGGCCGUCCCACUUGAACAGUCUAGGCAGAGAGAUGCGGGGAGAGGGCGAUGGUGCAAAUCUAGCGGUGGUUUUGCACGACUGGAGAGAGACAGCAGUCUUCGGUCCACUAAUUCGGGUGGUGACAUUUGGUCCUACUCACGUUGAUUCUCUCAACAAAAGUUGAUCGGCUACCUCAUAUGUGUGUCGAUCGGAUGCUACCGAUCUGCAGCGAGUAAGUUGUGGUCAGACAGCAGUGAACAGAGAGAGGAAGUUGGCGUUGGCGCAGCUUCCCUGUUCUCAUAUGGCUUCCUCGCAACACGAGCGCGAUGAGGUUGCUUCCGGAUCCGCGUGAUUGGUAGAAAGCUUGUCAAUCGCAGUCUGCUGCGUGCGGCAUCAGGAAUUAUGGCACCAGCAUCAGCUUUGAUGGACCCCGUUGCAGCGCGACUGCCCUGUGGCAGAGUGCAUGCCUCCGUUUCCUCGACUCUGUGCGGCUGUUCACCAGGUCGGACUCAUUGUAAGUGUCAUAGUGCACUCCCAAGUCGGACAAGAGUGGCGGCGAGAUUGCCGCGUAUCGCCGAUAGUGUGCAAGAGUGUGAAUAUUCGUUUGCGACGGGAGUGCCGCCGUCGGCGUGAUCGAGGCACACUCCAUCGUCCGUGGAAUAUACGGCGUUUUACUCGACCUUUCGUCGUAUUCAACAGGAAGGGAAGAAAGUAGGUUUCAGCGCACGAUUCACAACGGCAGCUGCUGCACUGCCGGGGCCGUUUCGACAAACGCCGAUAGUGUGAGGAUGCGUUAGAAUCGCGCAGGCAAUUCAGAAAUAAUCGCUGAGUCUGCUAUACAUGCCAGCUUUUGCGGAAGACGACAGACGUUUACCACGACUUCGUGUGCUAUAAAUUAUGCCCUACAUAAUGUAGAUUUCAGCGCACGAUUUGAUGUUUGAGAGUGGUGUGAUGCCAGAGCAGAGCACGGCGGUUCGUUUUUCUCUCGCCGUCCUAAUCUUACAGCGUUCUUCGCUAAGGGAAUCUUGCUUUCCUGAGCUUGUCGGACGGCCUUUCCACCCACGGAGAUGUUCGCCUAUAUUCCGAGUCACUGCCCAUAUGUGUGGAUGUAUGGAUGUAUGUAUUGAUGUAUGCAUGCAUUGAUGUCUAUAGGUAUUGAUGUCUGUAUGUGUCGAUGCACGUGAACUCGCGUCUGGGUACAACCAUACAUAUGCAGGUUCCUUUGGCCACUGGGAUCUGAUACGGCAACCUUAUUUGUUUUUUGGUGCGUUUUAAUUGCUGCUCGACAGAACAACGGAGCGAGCGCGGCCAACGCAGGCUCUUCGUAAGCGUCCACUGCAGUGCGGUCUUCCCUGAAGGAAAACAGCUGUGUGUUUGACGGCACACUGCUUUGGCGGAUACGAAAAGUGAAGGAAGUCGGUGUACAGCGGCUUCAAGUUCACUUCCACGUUCCGUGCACGUGUGCCCUAGCUGCGUGAGUGCUGCGUCUACGUCUCGCAAACCGCAGUGGGUGUUUUUUCUGCCGAAGCCACUUUCUGGGCAUGCAUGUUUCUCGAGUAUUCGUGUUGGGUGAAUCCGUUUUGUUGGCUCUUUGCCGGGCAGCACGAUCCUGUGGAUGUGUCGAUGAGCCGACGCGCCUCAGGGAGGAUGCAAAUACGUGGAUCAUUUGCUUUCUCGUGUACAAUAACAUCAUUUCCGCAUCGUUGCGCCUACGGCUCACUUCCGGUCGAUGAGACGUGCCCCUGUGUCUCUCAUGCGUUGGUCUUUCUUCCGCCGAGGCGACCUCGAGUGCCUUUGUACAAUUACACCACCACACCUUUUUUCCACCAGUCGUUACCCGUGCAUGUUGUCGCGAUCUGUCUCUCCGCGUCAUUUUCAUGAAGUGGCCUGGUGGCCUGCGAAAGGAGGAAAUGAAAAAAGGAGUGAAGGUUUCACCGCUGCGUUUCCAGUGUGUAUGAAGCUUUUUUCCUUAUCUUCAACGUCCUCUAGUGGUUCCCCUGUUUGUCAGUUAGUGUUGUUUGCGGUUCUGUAUAUUCACAUUUCUUGGCUGGAAAAAUCGCCAUCCACCAUUUCCGAGGGCAUGUUCCCACUUCAUGCCCACCUCGACAUUUGCCUCGAAUGAGGCCGUUCGUUUCCUUUCUGCCUACCGCAUUCUUCCGUCAUCUGGCAUCCGUUCACGCCACCAAAACAUUCCGUUCCGUGUUGCCGCAUUCCACUGAAUUCGAUUUCGCGCGAGAGCCUUUGUCGCAUGCACUCCGACCCAGCCCCGCGCUGCAGCUGCUACAUAGCUGCUGCCGCCCGGAUGACAAUGAAACAAGCGA